rnacentral:rRNA from 1 species
CAUGGCUCAGGACGAACGCUGGCGGCGUGCCUAAUACAUGCAAGUAGAACGCACAGUUUAUACCGUAGCUUGCUACACCAUAAACUGUGAGUUGCGAACGGGUGAGUAACGCGUAGGUAACCUGCCUGGUAGCGGGGGAUAACUAUUGGAAACGAUAGCUAAUACCGCAUAAUAUUGAUUAUUGCAUGAUAAUUGAUUGAAAGAUGCUAUUGCAUCACUACCAGAUGGACCUGCGUUGUAUUAGCUAGUAGGUGAGGUAACGGCUCACCUAGGCGACGAUACAUAGCCGACCUGAGAGGGUGAUUGGACACACGGAGACUGGGACACAGACCAGACUCCUACAG